CAUGUCUUUUUGAAAAUAAUUUAAGGUCUAAUCUGCCCAAUGAUUAUUUAAAUGGCCGCGAUAAUUUGAUCGUGCAAAGGUAGCAUAAUCAUUAGUUUCUUAAUUAGGAACUGGAAUGAAAGGUUGAACGAGAAAAAGACUGUCUCAAUUUAAUUUUUAUUAGAAUUUUAUUUUUAAGUUAAAAAGCUUAAAUAAUUUUAAAAGACGAGAAGACCCUAUAGAGUUUUAUAUUUAAUAAUUUUAUUAAUAGUUUAAGAAUACUUUUAUUAUUAUUAAAUAUUUAGUUGGGGUGACUAGAAAAUUAAAAAAACUUUUCAAUUAAUUAUUCAUUGAUAUAUGUUUAGAUGAUCCAUAAAUUAUGAUUAAAAGAUUAAAUUACCUUAGGGAUAACAGCGUUAUUUUUUUUAAGAGUUCAUAUCGAAAAAAAAGUUUGCGACC
rnacentral:rRNA from 1 species